UGUUCUCUAACAGUGUAGUUGGGUGAUGUGUUCUCUAACAGUGUAGUUGGGUGAUGUGUUCUCUAACAGUGUAGUUGGGUGAUAUGUUCUCUAACAGUGUAGUUGGGUGAUGUGUUCUCUAACAGUGUAGUUGGGUGAUGUGUUCUCUAACAGUGUAGUUGGGUGAUGUGUUCUCUAACAGUGUAGUUGGGUGAUGUGUUCUCUAACAGUGUAGUCGGGGUGACAUGUUCCCUAACAGUGUAGUUGGGUGAUGUGUUCUCUAACAGUGUAGUUGGGUGAAGUGCAGUUGAGGUGCAGUGUUGGUGGGUGGCCAGGAGAGGGUGCUCAUGUCUGAGAUGUUCUCUGGUAAAAUCUCAUUGACCUCUUUUCCUUGGCCUUCAGCCGUAUUCCCUCUGAACAAGUGUCUUUAAGCUGAGAGAAUACAAAUUGAGGAUGGUGUAGCAGCUGGCUAGACCUGCGAUCUCCACGGGCAUAGGGAAAUCCCAUAAGGGUCUGUGUUAUGUUUUAAGUUGGCAAAUUUAGAAGUAAAAGAAUGCAUAGGUGUGUCAAAUUAUACAGCUCCAGAAAAAAUUAAGAGAUCACUGCACCUUUUUCUUUCCUUUCCAAUGAAAGUUUUGAGUUAGGAACAGAAGCGUUCAAUUUGCAGUGGUCUCUUAAUUUUAAUCCUUCUGUUCCUCAUUCAAAACCUUCCUUCUCUACUUUUUUGGAAAGGAAAGAAAAAUGUGUGGUGGUCUCUUAAUUUUUUCCGGAGCUGUAUGUGCAUUUGUUAAGUUUGAUUUUGAGGCUUGACACUUGCAAAAUAUGAAAAACCUCCCAAAUGUAUUGUUUAAUUGUUACUGAGAUUUAAUUAUUGUAAAACGACAAUAAUGGAUGGCCCUCUGAUGUCAGCUGGUAGGGGCGGGGGGUGCCGUCUUCAUUGGCUGGAGGAGGGGCCUCAUUUUCAUUCGUAGGGGGAGGGCCCUUAUCUUCAUUGAUGGGGGGAGGGGCCUCAUCUUCAUUGUUAGGUUGAGGGGCCUCACCCUAACAAUGGGAAUCACCGGCUUGAGAAUCACCGGCUGUCACCUGAACCAGGAUGCUGUUUUAGUAUUGUACGAGUCAGUCAGGUGACUGUCAGGUGACGUUAGCUAAGCCUUGCUGCGCCUCCAAUCUGUUGUAGAGAUUUCCAACAGCAGAUUGGAGUUAAGAACAAAGCAGCUCUGACCUCCUCCUACCUCUCUCUGGCCCAGUUAAUGCUUGGCUUCAACAUGAGGCCUUGGUCCUCAUCUUGUCCACAUUCUGACUGUGCCCAGGUAUUCAGACCCUUGUUAAAAGCAUAUUACAACCUGAAUGGGAUCCGAUCUUAUAACCAUAAGACAAGCUCAUGUCAAAACCAGGACAUUAGACACGUCUUAUUUCAGGUAUCCACCCACAAGACCACCCAUCUAUUCCUCCCUUCCUCCAUUCAUCCCACUUCAUUAAAACACAUCGUUUAUUUACUCUACUGGCAUCAUGGUAUAAUGAUCCAGUGAUGAUAAAUCACAUUUUGAAUAACAAUAAAUGUAAUAACAGCCCAAUAGUUUCUAACUGAAUUACUUUUUAUUUAAUUAGAAAUGUGUGCCAACGUAAUAAACCACAACUGCAGUUGUAUUAGAGUUGGUGUUAGCCGCAGGGGAAGUAUCUCCCCCAUGUCUGCCUCUCUUGGUUGGGUUUGUCACUCAGCACCUCUGCUACCACUUUCCCACAAACCUCUUAUCAUCCUGCAUUACCAGCAUGCAAUACCAUUUUGCAUUACCAUCAAGACAUCCCCUAUGCAUUACUGCCCAUCAUUACCAUCCUCAAUUACUGCCGUGCAUCAUCAUCAUGUUAUAACAUCAUGCAUUACCACCCAACAUCGCCACUUUGUAUUUACCUCCCGCAUUAUCGCCCUGCGUUAUCACCCUGUAUUAUCCUGCAUUAUCGUCCUCUCACUCCAACGCUUCCUAUUCUCCCCUAAAAAGCUGUGAGUUUUUUUUUUUUAGGAUGGAUGGUUGCAUGAGAUGGGCCAGAAUACCUUGCAUUGACAGACACAUGCCCGAGCCCUGGGCGUGCCCGCGGACGGUAAUCCCAGCACAGUGGCCAGAGGAUGAAGGGCAGAGAUUCGGCGAGGACGUGGAGUGGCAACAGCAAUACACAGCCCUCAAAGACCCACAGAAUGUUACACAGCACCCUCACACACCCUCACUGAGGACUGGGAGCAGAUUCUAUGACUGUAAUGUUGAACCCAAACACGCUAUUUACAUCAGUUUAGAUCAGAGAUUGUUCUAUGAUUUUAUCGUAGAUUAUUUUUGACUCAGUACACAGGCACCAGUCUGUCAUGCUGGCAUCAGAGCCCAUAAAGACGCGUGAUUGGCUGGUUGGGGAAUGUAAAGGUGGGGCUAAGCAAAAGAGGGGGAGGGGCCUUUUCGGGAGGGAGGGUACUGGGAGAGGGGGGACUGUGUUGCUCUAAUUUUAGCCAAUGGCUCUGCUGGGGUGGAGCUAAUCCUCUUUGGACUGAAUUAGGAUUACCAGGCGGCUUUACGACCAGGCUGCCCGCAUGGAGAUAUUCCCUCUGUGUAAUAUUGACCCGUAGCUUGCAGAGGGAGGGAACAAAUCCCAGUGCUGUAGGACGCUACGGAGGGGCUAGUUGGGGCUAUCUUGGCCAAGAGAGAGAAAGAGAGAGAUAGGAUGGAGAAGGAGAAGUAGAGAGACAAAAGAAAAGAAGAGGAGGGUUUGAAGAGAGUCGAGAGGUGGGAUGAGAACCUGGUGGUGUUUGUGGUUGAUUAUUCCUUACAAUGUGUCUAACUCUGUGAUGCUGAGAGACUAACGCACCAGUCAGCAUACCUAUGUAUUCCCCCUAGGACCUAGGACCUGGGUAACACCAGGUCACCAUCCCAACCAUCCAACACCAGGACACCAUCCCACCCAACACCAGGACCCCAUCCCACCCAACACCAGGACCCUAUCCCACCCACCCAACACCAGGACACCAUACCACCCUCCCAAAACCAGGUCACCAUCCCAACUACCCAACACCAGGACACCAUCCCACCCAACACCAGGACACCAUCCCACACAACACCAGGACCCCAUCCCACCCACCCAACACCAGGACACCAUACCACCCAACACCAGGACACCAUCCCACCCACCCAACACCAGGACACCAACCCACCCAACACCAGGACCCCAUCCCACCCACCCAACACCAGGACACCAACCCACCCAACACCAGGACACCAUCCCACCCAACACCAGGACACCAACCCACCCAACACCAGGACACCAACCCACCCAACACCAGGACCCCAUCCCACCCAACACCAGGACCCCAUCCCACCCACCCAACACCAAGACACCAACCCACCCAACACCAGGACACCAUCCCACCCAACACCAGGACACCAUUCCACACAGCAACAGGACACCAUCCCACACAACACCAGUGAACUAUCCCACCACCAGCACACCAUCCCACCCAACACCAGCACACCAUUCCAUCCAACCAGGGCCACUAUCCUAGAUAUGCACCCAAAUAAAUAUAUGGACAUAACAUUGUUAUUUCUGUUGCUACAAUGUAGCUCUAUAAACUGUCUGGACUAUACUAUGUAUGUUGGGAGGGGGAGGUUGAAUGUACCUCUGUGAACUGCCUGGACUGUACUAUGUAUGUUAAGUGGGGGGAGGUGGGAUGUAGCUCUAUAAACUGUUUGGACUGUACUAUCAAUGUUAGGAGGAGUGGAAGUGGGGUGUAGCAUUAUAACCUGUCUGGACUGUACUAUGUAUGUUAGGUGGAGGGGGUGGAGCAGGUUGCUUUAUAAACUGUCUGGACUGUACUAUGUAUGUUAGGUGGAGGGGGUGAAGCAGGUUGCUUUAUAAACUGUCUGGACUGUACUAUGUGUGUUAGGUGGGGGAGGUGUGUGAGGGAUGAGUUAAGCGGGGGGGAUCGUGAGGUUGAAACCUAAUCCCCAGGUCUGCAGCACUGCUGGAUGAUAUAGAAACGAACAUGUAAAUCCUGCCUUCACAACGUCCUUUUGUCUGGAUAUUAGAUUUCUUAAUUGCUUUUUUACUUUUUUGGAUUUACUUUAAUGCCAAGGGAAUGCCAAGUUUGGUAAGACAUUCAUUUAUUGAUCUUUAAUCAUCUCUUGGUCUGCUUUUGAAAGUGACCUAUGUCAAUUUGUAAAUUGUGUGUUCUGUUGCUGUGAAAAUAUCAUGAAAAAACUGGUGGAAGAAAAAUUACAUAUUUUAUCAUUACAUAUCAAUAUAUGUAUGUAAAUAUCAGUUAGUUCCAAAAAACUGUCAAAACUGUUUUUCCCCAAUGAUUUGUAAACACAAUUUUAUGAAGAGAAAAGCAGGCGCCAUAAUGCAUCAUAAAGGACAUGGAGAAAAAUAAAUCAGUAAGUACAGAAAAUAUGUUCUUUCAAACAGGAACUUAAAAUCUAGCUGCAGUACACUAAAUGGCCACAUCAGAUGGGAUUCCCAGUUCAGAUAUAACAAUGUAAGCUUGAUAAACUGAAAAUAUAUUUCCCAUUAACAUUCAAGCAAAAUAAAACGAACAACAACGACAACACAACUCCAAAAGGUUAACAUGUAUUACAGUGUGUGUGUGUGUUAACAGUAACAGUGUAUGUUUAUAUUUUCUUCUUAAAGAAUGUAAUCAGACAGUAAAUCGAUGUAUGGUCAUGGAUAAUCCAAUAAACCACACCCCAUGUCUCCACUAUCAACUGGAUGAAAACAGGCAGGUCAGGGUUGAAAAGGAUUCACCUUUGACCUAUCAUGGCCAUCAAGGACCUGAUGACCUCAGUUCUCACUCAUGAUUUCCUGGAACACUUCCUGCCUUUCACAGGUCUACAUUACUGCCAGGAACGUCCGCGUUCUACCUGUAGUAUAAUGAACACACCUUCUGAUGACAUCACAUACAACCAAACCAGCUCUUCAUAUUGACUAUCUGCACCUUCAGUCAGGUUCUAGAGACAUCCCUAUCUACUCCAUGGUCAUUUUCAGCAAUGACAAAGAAAAUGACCUCAAAUCCCACAUAUUUAUUAAUGUUUACAGUUCCAGUCACACA
ensembl:lncRNA